AUACUUACCUGGCAGGGGAGAUACCAUGAUCACGAAAGUGGUUUUCCCAGGGCAAAGCUUAUCCAUCGCAGUCCCGAUAUGCUGACCUCUGUGAUUUCCCCAAAUGUAGGAAACUGAACUGCAUAAUUUGCGGUAGUGGGGUACUUUGUUCACGCUUUCCCCUA
rnacentral:snRNA from 1 species